UACGUAGGGGGCUAGCGUUGUCCGGAAUCAUUGGGCGUAAAGAGCGUGUAGGCGGCCCGGUAAGUCCGCUGUAAAAGUCAAAGGCUCAACCUUUGAAUGUCAGUGGAUACUGCCGGGCUAGAGUCCGGAAGAGGCGAGUGGAAUUCCAGGUGUAGCGGUGAAAUGCGUAGAUAUCUGGAGGAACACCGGUGGCGAAGGCGGCAUCCUGGACCAACACUGACGCUGAGUGAGCGAAAGCCAGGGGAGCAAACGGG
rnacentral:rRNA from 1 species